AUCCUUUGUAGUUCAUUAGCAUGAUGAUUGGGCGUUCAUGCUGUUGUGUGAGAUGUGCCUCCCUCAAACCUUGUUACGACAUCAGCACAUUACCCAUCUGACA
rnacentral:snoRNA from 1 species